UGUAUUAUAACUGCAGCUAUAAGGUUAUGGUGUAAGGAGGUCCCCUGUCUCCCUGCACACAGUGUAUUAUAACUGCAGCUAUAAGGUUAUGGUGUAAAGAGGUCCCCUGUCUCCCCGCACACAGUGUAUUAUAACUGCAGCUACAAGGUUAUGGUGUAAGGAGGUCCCCUGUCUCCCUGCACAUUGUGUAUUAUAACUGCAGCUAUAAGAUUAUGGUGUAAGGAGGUCACCUGUCUCCCCGCACAGUGUAUAACUGCAGCUAUAAGGUUAUGGUGUAUGGAGGUCCCCUGUCUCCCUGCACACAGUGUAUUAUAACUGCAGCUAUAAGGUUAUGGUGUAAGAAGGUCCCCUGUCUUCCUGCACACAGUGUAUUAUAACUGCAGCUAUAAGGUUAUGGUGUAAGGAGGUCCCCUGUCUCCCCGCACACAGUGUAUUAUAACUGCAGCUAUAAGGUUAUGGUGUAAGGAGGUCCCCUGUCUCCCCGCACACAGUGUAUUAUAACUGCAGCUAUAAGGUUAUGGUGUAAGGAGGUCCCCUGUCUCCCCACACACAGUGUAUUAUAACUGCAGCUAUAAGGUUAUGGUGUAAGAAGGUCCCCUGUCUUCCUGCACACAGUGUAUUAUAACUGUAGCUAUAAGGUUAUGGUGUAAGGAGGUCCCCUGUCUCCCU